GGUUACGGCCAUACACACUAGAAAACACCGGAUCCCGUCCGAUCUCCGAAGUUAAGCUAAAGGUAAUAGCUUUAGCUU
rnacentral:rRNA from 1 species